GUGUCAGCAGCCGCGGUAAUACGGAGGGUGCAAGCGUUAUCCGGAUUUACUGGGUUUAAAGGGUGCGUAGGUGGGUUGGGAAGUCAGUGGUGAAAUACUUUCGCUUAACGAAGGAACUGCCAUUGAUACUAUCAAUCUUGAAUGUAGUGGAGGUAGGCGGAAUGCGUCAUGUAGCGGUGAAAUGCUUAGAUAUGACGCAGAACACCAAUUGCGAAGGCAGCUUGCUACACUACUAUUGACACUGAGGCACGAAAGCGUGGGGAUCAAACAGGAUUAGAUACCCUGGUAGUCC
rnacentral:rRNA from 1 species